GCCAGGGUGGUUUAGUGGGUUGAGCGUUGGACUACAACUCUGGAGACCAGGGUUUGAAUCCUUUCUCAGCCA